rnacentral:sRNA from 1 species
UUUUAAAAAUCCGCACAUAUGUCGUCACAUUACUCUGGGUGCCUGAAAGGGUGGAGAAUGCGGACAUAUGGAGGCCUAAC